GAUGAACGCUGGCGGCGUGCUUAACACAUGCAAGUCGAACGGAAAGGCCAUGAGUUUGUGGGGUGCUCGAGUGGCGAACGGGUGAGUAACACGUGAGUAAACCGUCCCUGUAAUUGGGAUAACAUCAGGAAACUGGGGCUAAUACAGGAUAGGAGCUCCUGCUGCAUGGUGGGGGUUGGAAAGAUUCGGCUGUGGGGGAUGGAAUCGCGGCUUAUCAGCUGGUUGGUGGGGUAGUGGAUUACCAAGGGUUCGAGGGGUAGCCGGCCUGAGAGGGUGAACGGCCACAAUAGGACUGAGAGACGCCCCAGUCUCCUACGGGAGGCAACGGGGGGGAAUAUUGCAGAAUGGGCGGAAGCCUGAGACAGCGACGCCGCGUGCGGGAUGACGGCCUACGGGUUGUAAACCGCUUUCGCCUGUGACGAAGCGUGAGUGACGGUAAUGGGUAAAGAAGCACCGGCUAACUACGUG
rnacentral:rRNA from 1 species